AUGGGCGCCAGCGGCUCCAAAGCUCGGGGCCUGUGGCCCUUUGCUUCGGCGGCGGGGGGGCGGCAACCCAGAGGCAGCAGGCGCUGAGGCAAGCUUUGGUGUGGGCUCGAGGCCGAGCCGUGCCCCCCUUUGUAUUCACGCGCCGCGGCUCCAUGUUCUAUGACGAAGAUGGGGGUCUGGCUCACGAGUUCUAUGAGGAGACAGUCGUCACCAAGAACGGGCAGAAGCGGGCCAAGCUGAGGCGGGUGCCUAAGAAUCUGAUUCCUCAGGGCAUCGUGAAGCUGGAUCCCCCCGGCAUCCACGUGUAUUUUCCUGUGAUCCUCUAUGAGGUGUGAGACUGGGAGGUGGCAGGCACAAGCAUCUCCUGCCCCAGCAAGAAACCCCCAGGCUCAAGGUAUGGUUUCCAUCGAGGAGCGCAAGCUGGGGCCACAACCCUGAAUAAACUCCGUUGACCCAGAACCUUCAGCUUUGAACCGGUCAGUCCCGCAGUGUUGGUUGGGUAUUGGUUUGUGUGUGGACAAGAGGUGGCUGGAGGCUGGCGGAGGCUGAUGGCAGACUUAGCAGCCCACUCUCCCCAGCCACUCCUGCAAGAGGCAUGGAAGGGCAUAUACCAUUCAGGAAUGCCUGGUUCCUGGUUCUUUGCCUGGCCUGCCUUCUUCUAAGCUUGCCUGGGGCCUAGCCCUGCUAGAGGCUACAGCACUUCAUAAGCAAGGUCUGCCUUCUUCCAGCCCCUGUGUUGUGGGGGCUACACACAAGUGGGAACUUCCUCUUCUUCACUUCCCUUUUACCCCCUA